AUGCUUCCCUGGGUAAAAUACUGGCCUCUCCAGACUUUAUUUUUCUCAUCUUUAAAAUGGGUUGAUUCUUAUUUGGCCUAUCCCUGACCAAAAAAAAUAAUAUUUUUUAAAAUAUAAACUUUUACACAAAUCGAUCUGAAAAUCAGCAUCCUGCUCCCACUUGGCUCUGGUGCCCUUGAUGGAGCUGAAGUCUGUCUGGGUGGUUCCUGAGUUUUCUCAGAUUCCUUCAGGGCUGCCAGUUGAACCACCAAUGUGUGGAGUUUUACUUAAGCCUCAUUUUAUAAAUCAGACCAUUUGACUUGUCUCCCACUAACUUGUCAAAGUUCCAGCGAGCAAGUUUUAGUUCCAGAAGCCAGAUGCUUGCCACUGCCAGCUCCCUGAGGUGGGCGUUCUCACCAGCCCCAUUCCCUGCUGAGCAGCCACGGGCCCAUCUCCCAGCCCAGGGCAAGGCCACAUUUCCUCAGACCUCUGAGAGCUCUGAAGUCAGCCUGUGUGGCUGGGGUGGAUACAGGCCAGCUGAAGUGGACAGAGGAUACCGGUGAACAAUAAAAAUAACAGAUAGCUAUGGCAGUCAGUGGAACACAGCUAAACCAUUCUGCCCGGCGGAGUGGCUCAGUCAGAGUGCCAGAUGUGGGUGAUUCAUAAGCGUAGUGGCCAUCAUGUUGAAUUGUUACUAUUGUCACUGAGUGUGCUGAGCACCUGACUGCACUAACUUGUUUAGAACUCAGCCGUCUGUGAGGUGCACACUGUCACCACCCCCAAUUUACAGACGAAGAUACUGAGACCCUAAUAGGCCUGCUCCCAAAUGACUGCUCACAGCGUUACUCCCUUGAUGUGGAGGUGUGGGCAGAAAGUCCUGGGGCUCUGAACGCCCCCGCCCAGGGGUCCUGCCUGUGGGUCAUCCAGCAGCAGCACCUCUGUCCAGUCCCACACUGAUGUGAACAGUCUUCUCUGAUCUACAGCUCACAAUCUACUUCAGCCCCACUGUCACCCUCUCCCCACUUGUGUGCCGUGUUCAGUCCUCAGGGACCCCAGAACCAGCCCAAGCAGACUAAGGUUCCCUGGGUUCUAGAAUCUUGAUAGCUCAAACCACUGGCCUCUCCCUGAAGGGUUUCGACACACCCCCCCACCACCCACCUCCUCUCUAGCCUCUGCUUCCCAGCCAGCCCUACCUCCUUCCCAGGAUCCACCAGCUAAGCCACCAGUGACCCUGGAACAGUGAACUAGCCCCGCCUCUCUGUGCCUCAGUUUCCCAACUUGUAUGAUGAGGGAGCAUAGACAGAAGCAGUUCUAUGGGCCCCUCCAGCUCAGACAUUCUCCAAACCCCCAUCAUCUCUCAUUUGACAACUGCAGUGGCCUCCUUGGAGUGCUCCCUGGAGCCACUCUUCCAGGCCUCCCAGCCCCAUCUGGCUAUACACAGCAGCCAGCAUGAGCUUUUGAAACAAUAUUAUUUCAUUCCCACCUUUAAAACCCUCCGUGACUUCCUACCACACAUAGAAUAAAAGCCAAACUCCUUCCCAUGGCCAACAGUACCCUACAUGACUGGGGGUCACGCCCGGGCUCCCUCUUCUCAGAAGGUGCUUUGAACACAGCCAGCCCGCCAGCCCCUGGCUGCUAGGAGCUGCUGCCGUGUUGCCAAUACCAUCACUGUGUGUAUUGAUUUCUCACCCAACUGGUGUCCUUAACUUCAUAUUUAUGGCUUGCCCUGACAUUUCCCUUCUCUUACAUGUUCCAAAUUAUUAAAAACAGCUGCUUUAUAAUUAAUUGAGCAAAUCAC
ensembl:lncRNA novel transcript, sense intronic to GNAO1